rnacentral:lncRNA from 1 species
AAAGGAUGAUGCCAACUAUGCUUCUGCAGCAGGUCAUUAGUUAAGUGCCUGCUUUAUUCUGCAUGGGAGGAUGCUAUCUGGCUGCAUUCCAGAAGGGAACCCUAAAAGGCAGAAGUUGCUGGUUUUCUCUGAAGACUUUUGGCUAAUACAAGAAGUGCUCUGUAGACGAGACGGUUUCUCUAUGAUUGAGUAAUACAGUCCUGCUGAUAUCAAGGAAUCACCACAAGAGGGAUCAAUCUGUACUCCUAUCACUCUGGUCUAAAGGGAGCAAUUAUUGAGAGACAGAAGAUCUCUGAGUUACAGCAGACAUAAGUGGACUACAACAGGGGCACGCAGUCUUCUAGAUGCCAUCUUGUAGCUCUGCAGUGCCCACUGGUCCUUCCAGACACACCACCUAACAAAAUGUUUUGGAAAUAUUCUAUUAAAAGAACAUUAUCUUGUCUAUUUGCUAUGGCUUCAUGUUGGAAUUGAAGCAGUAGUCAGGUUGGCUGACUUUACCUACACUUCUGUGCAGCUGCAGUUCUCAAAUUUGGCUGCUACUGCUCAGGUAUACUACCACUGUCAGAGGCUCCCCAGCCAUGUUUAGUGCUGUCAGAGACUUUCUACAUACAAAAAGGGGCAAAAAUUUGUCUCUCACCGUGUCAACACCACAACAGGCACCACAGAAAACCAGAGAUCCAGUGAGCCAUGAAACAUUUACACCAGGACAUUGCACUAGAAAAAUGACAGCUUCAAGACUUUACCACAGAGAAGAAACACUGAGAAAUCCCUGUCAAAUGCUC